GAGAGUCAUUUAGUUCUGUACAGACAGAAUCUCAGGUGUACAGGUGUGAUUAAACUCUCAGAGUGCUGCUAUGACGCUCGUCUAAAAUCCAGCAAUAGGAGGACGACAAACUCAAGGGAAAGCUACAGAUACAAUUUAAAGAAACAAAACAUGUUUUCUCUACCAGCUGAGGAUCUUCAUUGUAUAAUCUGACAUGGAGAACACACGCAGUCUGAUAUAGAAGUCGGACGAGAUUUGUUCAUCUGAAAACGUUGGACUUUUACAGCGUUAAACUGGCUUUACCGUUCCUCCUCUCAGUGAGUGAAUAUUUAAUGAGUGGAAAUGGUCCCGGCUGCAGCGGGUGAUAAAUUCAGGACUGUAACUGUAAAAGGUAAAAACUCACCUUGCUGCCGUGGGAGAGAGGCGCCGAAUGACAACGAGGCUUUUAAUGCCUUCAUAUGCUGCCUUCAUAGGGACCCUCCUGAGUGCACUAAUGAUAUGCUGAAGCAUUUUGAAGCAUCAUAUCUCGCACCUCACGCAGAAUAUACGCCGCUAAAAUGCCAAAACCAAUUAAAAGUCUGACGCCACCUGCAGUAAAAUAAUUUCAUAUUUAACGCUGCGUAAAAAAAAUGAUAAUCAUAAAGAAGUAAUUAUCCUGAAGUAAAUAAAUGAGUGCGGAGUAAGUGAAAUUUCUCAGUGGGAUAAUUAAAAUUUUCAGUAAAGCGUAAUUGCGUUGAGGAAGUUCUGUUUGAAGUGAGGGAUAAUGAACACGACUUGGCUUCAGGUGUUCAGCGCUGUUCACGUCAAAGUCUGGCAGGAUUAACGUCAAUUAAUCCACUGUGUUCGUACCGAGGCUGAAGAAAAGCUGCUCAGGAUGACAAAGCGUCACAUUCAGUUACGGCAGUCUGAGCUGAGCUAUAAAACAGCCGAGACACAAACGAGCGCAGAGACGGAAACGAACGUAGAGACGGAAACGAGCGAGGAGACGGAAACGAGCGAGGAGACGGAAACGGGCCAAGAGAUGGAAACGAUGGCUGAGACGGAAACGAUGGCGGAGACGGAAAUGAGCGCGGAGACGGAAACGAUCAAGGAGACGGAAACAAGUGCGGAGAUGGAAACGAGCGAGGAGACGGAAACGAUGGCGGAGACGGAAAUGAGCGAGGAGACGGAAACAAGUGCGGAGAUGGAAACGAGCGAGGAGACGGAAACGAUGGCGGAGACGGAAACGAGCGAGGAGACGGAAACGAGCGAGGAGACG